rnacentral:rRNA from 4 species
AUGUGACCUCAAAUCAGGUAG